UACAGAGGUCCCAAGCGUUGUUCGGAUUCAUUGGGCGUAAAGGGUGCGUAGGUGGCGCUGUAAGUCGGGUGUGAAAUUUCGGAGCUUAACUCCGAAACUGCAUUCGAUACUGCGGUGCUUGAGGACUGGAGAGGAGACUGGAAUUCAUGGUGUAGCAGUGAAAUACGUAGAGAUCAGCAGGAACACCCGUGGCGAAGGCGGCCCCCUGGGCCGUACCUGACGCUGAGGCGCGAAGGCUAGGGGAGCGAACGGG
rnacentral:rRNA from 1 species